GUUCACAUGCACUUCUAUUUCCAGAAUCCCAAACACUGCCACCAUGGAGAAAGAAAACUGCACAUCUCCAGGGAGAGAUAUUCAAUAAAAAUAAAUAAAAUACUUUCAAUGCAAAAAUUAUAUUACGGAUUGAACUUUUGUUUGGCUGAAGGAGAAAUUUGCUUUGCCCUAGCUACUGACUUUGAACACAGAAGUACAUUUUAUAAAGGAAUGUAGCCACUACAUGCAAAGCCAACUGCAACUCUUCGGAAAUGCAAACUCCAAAGGACUUAUUUACUACAGGUUUAAGGCAAAUCAAUUCUCUUAUGUUGAGAUGGGAAGAUUAUGGUCAUUUAAUCUUUUCU